GUUACAAGCCGGGUUAUCGCCUUUCGCGUUGCGAUGGGAGGAAAGUCCGGACAGCGCAGAGCAAUACACCGGUGAAUAGCCGGGUGUUCCGCCACCGGCGGGGCAACAGACAGUGCCACAGAAAAUAACUGUCCUGUUUUGGCAGGAUGAGGGUGAAAAUGUGAGGUAAGAGCUCACGGUAUUUGACAGUAAUGUUGAAUACGGGUAAACCUUGUAUGCUGAAAUACCAUGUAAAUCCUGCUUUUUAAAACAACCUGUUUUAAAAUGUGAGCGGCUCGUUUACAAUUCGGUUCUGGUAAUUAUCGGAACAGGAUGACAGGAAGGGUAGGUAGAUCGAUUCAUUGAGGUAACUCUUUGAACAGAUAAAUGAUAACCAUCCCGCCCCGUGCGGGAUACAGAAUCCGGCUUACAGGCUUGUAACAUUU
rnacentral:RNase_P_RNA from 1 species